GUGGGGAAUAUUGGGCAAUGGGGGCAACCCUGACCCAGCGACGCAGCGUGAGGGAAGAAGGCCUUAGGGUCGUAAACCUCUGUUGUGUGGGAAGAAGGAAGUGACGGUACCACACGAGGAAGUCCCGGCUAACUACGUGCCAGCAGCCGCGGUAAUACGUAGGGGACGAGCGUUGUCCGGAAUUACUGGGCGUAAAGGGCGCGUAGGCGGUCAUUUAAGUCAGCUGUGAAAUGGUCCGGCUCAACCGGAUCAUGCGGUUGAAACUGGAUGACUGGAGUGCUGGAGAGGCAAGUGGAAUUCCCAGUGUAGCGGUGAAAUGCGUAGAUAUUGGGAAGAACACCGGUGGCGAAGGCGACUUGCUGGCCAGCAACUGACGCUGAGGCGCGAAAGCCAGGGGAGCAAACGGGAUUAGAUACCCGGGUAGUCC
rnacentral:rRNA from 1 species